UGGGGAAUUUUGGACAAUGGACGCAAGUCUGAUCCAGCCAUGCCGCGUGCGGGAAGAAGGCCUUCGGGUUGUAAACCGCUUUUGUCAGGGAAGAAACGAGUUUCUCUAAUACAGAGACUUAAUGACGGUACCUGAAGAAUAAGCACCGGCUAACUACGUGCCAGCAGCCGCGGUAAUACGUAGGGUGCAAGCGUUAAUCGGAAUUACUGGGCGUAAAGCGUGCGCAGGCGGUUAUGCAAGACAGAUGUGAAAUCCCCGGGCUCAACCUGGGAACUGCCUUUGUGACUGCAUAGCUAGAGUACGGUAGAGGGGGAUGGAAUUCCGCGUGUAGCAGUGAAAUGCGUAGAUAUGCGGAGGAACACCGAUGGCGAAGGCAAUCCCCUGGACCUGUACUGACGCUCAUGCACGAAAGCGUGGGGAGCAAACU
rnacentral:rRNA from 1 species